GAUGAACGCUGGCGGCGUGCUUAACACAUGCAAGUCGAACGAAGCAUUUACGACAGAUUUCUUCGGAUUGAAGUUGUUUAUGACUGAGUGGCGGACGGGUGAGUAACGCGUGGGUAACCUGCCUUGUACUGGGGGAUAGCAGCUGGAAACGGCUGGUAAUACCGCAUAAGCGCACAAUGUUGCAUGACAUGGUGGGAAAAACGCCGGUGGUAUAAGAUGGACCCGCGUCUGAUUAGCUAGUUGGUGAGAUAACAGCCCACCAAGGCGACGAUCAGUAGCCGACCUGAGAGGGUGACCGGCCACAUUGGGACUGAGACACGGCCCAGACUCCUACGGGAGGCAGCAGUGGGGAAUAUUGCACAAUGGAGGAAACUCUGAUGCAGCGACGCCGCGUGAGUGAAGAAGUAAUUCGUUAUGUAAAGCUCUAUCAGCAGGGAAGAUAGUGACGGUACCUGACUAAGAAGCUCCGGCUAAAUACGUGCCAGCCGCCGCCGUAA
rnacentral:rRNA from 1 species